CCUACGGGUGGCAGCAGUGAGGAAUAUUGGUCAAUGGGCGGAAGCCUGAACCAGCCAAGUAGCGUGCAGGAUGACGGCCCUACGGGUUGUAAACUGCUUUUAUACGGGAAUAACGCGCCUUUCGUGUAGGGCUUUGCAUGUACCGUAUGAAUAAGGACCGGCUAAUUCCGUGCCAGCAGCCGCGGUAAUACGGAAGUUCCGGGCGUUAUCCGGAUUUAUUGGGUUUAAAGGGAGGGUAGGCGGCAUGUCAAGCGUGCUGUGAAAGGUUCGGGCUCAACCCGGGCCUUGCAGCGCGAACUGGCGUGCUUGAGUCCGCGGAAGGCAGGCGGAAGUCGUCGUGUAGCGGUGAAAUGCUUAGAUAUGUCGAAGAACCCCGAUUGCGAAGGCAGCUUGCUGCAGCGGAACUGACGCUGAUGCUCGAAAGCGCGGGUAUCGAACAGGAUUAGAUACCCGGGUAGUC
rnacentral:rRNA from 1 species